ensembl:lncRNA
CUGAUGGUGAUGCAGAUUUGCUUUCAACUGAAGAAGGUCCAGGAGCAAAAAGCCCCAGCGUGACAAUGGAUACAGGAUGGCUUCAAACGAUGGGCUUGUCUAUGUGGUGUCUCCAGGAUAGACAGCCCUGCCUGGAUGUAUUUUUAUGUUUUAGUGAUUUUUUAUAGCUUAAAGCAUGAGGAACAAUUCCUGGAGAUCCAUGGGCAGGAUGUGAGCCCACUGCCUGGGGGUGGUCUGCUGUCCCCUCUCUUGGGGACAGCUGGGGCUGACUCACCCCAGAGCAAGACCCGGCCUUGGCCAUGGAGCACAAGACACGAAGAGUCACUUGACAUGGAAAUGGAGCAGUCUGGAAGGUGGAGUCUUCCUAGGGGAGGCCCUUGAUUUUCCAUCUCUCCUUUUUUCUUUUCUUGAAUAUCAGCCCUGAAAUUUCCACAGAGGUCAGGAAAUGACACACACGUGCAUUGUUGCCACCUCCAGAGGGAAUGGGGAGGCAGCUCCUGGCAGCGACCCAGCAGCAGUGAGCACGCACUUUUGGGAAGAGCAUUAUCUCACUGCUCAAUGGCCCCUUGCAGAGGAAAGCAAGUUGCUUUUCUCCUCCUAAUGCCAGCUCCUUCACUGUAGCACCAGGAAAGCACUGCUAAACAGUAGUCAUGGCGAAUCUCUUCUUUGGAAGCACAGAAAGUUGAAACAAAUAUAUUGUUUGAGAGGCAGCCAGCCCCAGGGUGGCAUUUCGGGGGAGAUUUCAGAGGGCAGCCACCCUUCUCCCAUUCCCCAUCAGCAUCACACCAGCAUGUCUUGCAGAAAGGUACUAGGUAUCUGGAUGCUGGCACCCAAUGAUCCCACCCACAGUUUCAUUUGAGGCUGAUGGAGAGGAUACCUCAGGAAGGGUUAUUUUGUUUUUUCCAUAACCAAGGGAGAUGCUUUGCAAACGUGACAGCUCAUGUUGGCACACCAAGAAGUGCCCUUCAAGGUGUUUUCCUGCUCUCCACAAUUGCUCAACACGACAGAGCUUUCUCUGACGGCUAUAUUAGUGCAUACUUACAUGUUGACAGUUCAUUUCCAGCCUCAGAUGGUCAACACCAAGGAAUUCCUCCUGGCCGUGGUUUGCAUUCUGUGGGCAGCUGUGCAGCCAAGGAGGGUUUUCUCAAACAUGAGCCCAUUCUCACAUUUUCUGACCUCCUAAAGCUGUGAAAGGCAUAAAUUCUGUGUGUCUUCAAUUAACCGUGGGCAUAAUUAAUGAACCCUUUUCCCCAACUUCACCCUAAUAUAAAGGCUCUCUGGCUCUUCUUAGGUUGUUUCCUUUCUAGUUCCUCUGAUUCCCCUCCUUCUCUGAUUAUAGCUAAAUUCACUCCCAUUCUUCCAUCAUAUGGAUGGCAAUUGAGCUCUCCCAAACCUCAAGGUGGGACUAAAUCUCUCCACCUGUCAUGAGAAAGUGUUGUUCCCUUUCUUCCCUGCCCUGCUUUGCUGUUUUUCCUCCUUCUGAAUACCAUUUGUGAUAUCUGAGAUACAACAGAGAGAGCUCAUUUCCAACUCCCCUUUUAAAUAACAGAGCUCAAUGUUGAAUAAAAAGACACUUUCUCCUGUAAGCAACAGCAACGGGGUAGCAACAGAGUUCUGCAGGAGAUGAGCUCUGCAGUGGGAGGUCAGAUGUUUCAUCAAACCAAAUCCAGUAGACACUGAACAAAACUUGAGUGGCUUUGAGGUUCGGUGUCCUUCUAAAUCCUUUUAUUUUUCCCAAUCAAGGCAGGGGAAAAGAGCCAUUUGUUAGAAAAAUAGUGUCAGAGAAGUUACAGAUGACAUUUGCCAAUGUUAUACCAUCAAAGCAAAAUCUCUGUCAGAUCUGUAAACAAUAACUUUUCACACAAAUGUCUACAGAGCCUCGGGUGUGUGCCUUUCAGCACGGCGUUCUUACAUCAUGCAUUCAUGGCAAGGGGAAGAGGCACCAUUGCCUCUCCCCAUUCUGCAUAUCCAAGGGUCAGGCACAUUUGAAUUCAGAUAAAAGAAGAACUUCAGGUAUUGUGAAUAUAUUCCACCAAGUUUUGUGCAAUGAGCUUACAUCCAUUUGCCAUAUUUCUUUCCUAAUGGUGCAUUUCCCACUCAUCUUCUUGUUCCUGACUCACUGAAAUCUUAAACAAAAUACUUCCAUCCAAGCUUUUGGAACAGAAUAAAUACCUACAUGCACUGUGUGCAAACCUGCACUGCUAUUACAUGAGCCACGCUGAAAACACAACUCUGGGUCAUCCUUCCAACUUCUGGUGGUGCUUCUCCCAGUUUUGCAGGAUACACCAUCCCAGCCUAUUCCUAAGAGUUGAGAUUUUGUUGUAUUGCUUUAUUUUAUUUUAUUUUAUUUUAUUUUAUUUUAUUUUAUUUUAUUUCAUUUCAUUUCAUUUCAUUUCAUUUCAUUUUUUGCCCAGGGAUGAGUGUUUUUAAGCUUCCAAUGAUUUGCAGAAGGAUGUGAUGCCUCACAGUAUUAGAUCAGGCAUUUCCUGAAGGAUUUUCUGGGCACUAGAGAGACCAUGUGAGAAAUUCUGCUCAACUGCUGUUGAAGUAACAGGGCCUACACAACAGUAGAUUUUCACUUCUAUAUUUAUAGCAAAAUGGAAACAAAAUGUGCUUUGAAGUAAACAGCACAAUCACUGGAGAACCCACCAAUAAAAAACACACCAGCACUGUCAGAUAACUCAGCCCCUUUAAAGACUGAAACCACUGCCAGGUACGCGGUAGCUGAAGGACAUCUAUGCCAAGAAUUUGAUGUCAUCACACUGUUUUUUGUUCCUUCUCCCUCCCCGUCAUACAAAGAAGGUGAUGAAGCAUCAUGACCACAAGCUGCGUCAUCCGGAGUGUUUGCUCUGUGUGCAUUUUGGUUGCAUCAAUACAGGGAACAUCCUGAGGGCAGGAGGGAGCCCAGUACUUGAACUAAGCUGAACUGAGAGAAAAGGACAGGAGGGAGGUGUUGGAUCUGUUCAAGUUGGACACUGGGGGAUUUAUUUUUGGAAGAGACUCUUUGUGAAGGAGCAGAUCCUCUCUAGAAGUCCUUGGUAGCAGGAAUGACUUAAAAUCCCCCUUUGAUUCCUAACUUUAUUUGACUCUAGUGAGCCUCUUCCCUUGUCCCAGAGGAAGGCAAAAACUUCCACACAUAAAACCCACUCUGCAUAGAUGAAAACAUCAGAGAAAAAAAAAUCUAAUAACAAAAAAAAGGAAACUGGCAAUUUCACAAGGUUAGGAUGACCCACAGUGAGGCUGACCACGCAUCACACCUGCAGAAGGACGGAACGGGGAACCAUGACCAGACCCAGGACACAUCUGCCUUAUUGCUUCAUGAUGUCCUCUUACUCAUCUGUCUGAUGCUUUAAUGCCUCCUGGACUUUCCAGUGUGACUUAAACUGAGGCUGGGGUAUGGGGUAUGGCAUCACUGGAGCGUUCCCAUGAACCUGGACGUCAUCACCCAACACUGCCACGUUGGCAGAUCCAUGAGCUGGAGGGGUAUGGGAAGUAUGACUCAGGUCACCUGCCUUCCUACAUGCAAGCUUGAAGUCAUAAUAUGAGAAAACAGCAGAGAAAGCAGCACAGCCGCUGGUCAGCAGAGAGCUUUGCAUGCAAAGAGCCACUUGAGCUGCCCAGGCUCAAUGCCCAGAGCCCCACGUCCCCAUCCCUGUGCAGCCCCACAACACGAGUGAGUGAUGAUGCAGGCUCCCCAAGCUUCAGGGCAUGCUAAAUUGAGAUGUGCAUUUAUUAUGGUAAAAAAUGUGGGAAAUAGGAAGGGUUGUGAUUUCCCAAAUUACUUUUCUUCUCACUAACAGCAGCUGGCAGCAAAUAUAUUUAAAAUGUAAAUAUUUAAAUACUCACUAGCAAGCACAAUUACCUUUUUUUUUUUCUUGUUCACCACUCAACCCAUUCAGAGCCUAUAAAUACCCACUAAGGAAGCAAGCGUCUAUGCCGCUUUUGGGGAGCAAUCUGAAAAUCCUCAUUAAUUGACAUGGCUUAGUCAUUAGUGGUGAGGAUGGGCAUAGAACAUGGGCUUAGGUGGGUUUUUUUCCCUCUGUGUUUUAGAAGAGAUAAUGUGUGGCUAUGGAAUAAAACGCUGUGAUUCGUGACACAGAAAAUGAUCGCGGUGUCCAAAGAGGACGAUGCUUGUUUAUAGCACACGGAUUAGCGCCGCGAGGUUCCUUUAUGUUUCCCUGCGACUUCUUCUCCCUGUGAAACAACCCCACCAAACGCCUGAGAAAUGAACAUGCUUCAGCCUUUCUAUUUAUUUUCAUGAGCUGAAAGCAAGGGAAAAGCUCCUGCCAGCAAGCAAGGUGGAGGAGAAAGCAUUGCAGCUUCUUUCACCCACGCUGGCUGUAAAAUGUACAGAAAUGUAAAGCCAUAAAAUUUUUAUGAGGGGUUGUUUUUAUAAUGUUUACCAACCUCAUGCCUCUAUGACGCUUUCCAGCAGAUAGCGGUUUAAUAGGGCUCCUAUCUCCCAACCGAGAUAACCGUGAGGGAGAGCUCGGCUCUGUUUGCAGCAGCGUGGAGCUGCCCGUGCUCUGUGGUUUUGCAGUGCUUUCACCCAAUUUCAGCCCCUUUCGCUUUGGUAGAGGUCAGAUAUAACGUGGAACCUUUGCCUCUGAUUAAGAAUUAAAAGCUGGAGGUGGGAAAGGAAUGCUCGAAAAGUGUUUCUUAAGAAAACAGCUAGGUUGCUGGUAGCGCUAUUAGUUUUGUUGCUAAUUAAAACAAAGUUGAGUUUGGUCUGACAGUUCCUCUGAGCGGCGAUUCUGUAAAGAAUCCCAUUAUGGGAAAUGGCCUGCUGUAUUUUCCUAAAUUUAACCAAUUUAUCUCUGCGACCCCUCCAAAGAGCAGCUCCAGGGGCAGAGAAUAUCCCCUUUUCAUAAAAGAACUGUUUAUUAGCCCAAGGUUCAUCCCCUGAUUUAUCGAUUUGGAUUUGCAACGCGCAAUGGGCCGGGUGCGCAGCACACCAGUGUGCCUGUCGUAUGUUCCCAGCUGACGUGUUUACAAUAUUUUUGAUUUACACCUUCCAGGUGUUCUUUUGGAAAAUAUCACCACCUUCAGUUUACACAUUUUUUACAAUAUAUUUGUGGCCAUCGGCGAGCUUCCACAUUUAUUACGGAGGAUGUGCCAAGAAGGAGGGCUUUUAUUUUCUUUAACUUGCUGGCAAGAUAUAGAUUUUUGGCUUUUAGAAAAACAGGAUUGAUUGACUGAAGGAGUAAAACCCCCAAAGUAUGUAUUUGGGAUGAGACGUGGUUAUUUGCUCAGGGCAAGGAGCUGGUUGUCAGGCUGGGGCUCCGCUGUGCCGAUCUCAAUCACUCCAUAAGAAGCUCAUCUUCACCAUAAAAUGGUGAAAAAUGGCUGCUGAGGUUCUGCAUCCUUAUGUUUUUUGGAAUUACAACAAUCACCAGCACACAGAAAAUCUGUGACACAGGGAGAGACUGAAAGGGGUCGAUGCACACGGCCGUGUUUUGCAGUGCAAAGCUUUGUGAGUAACCCAAUAAAUGAACCCGAUACACCAAAUUCUGUCACUGCUGAAACGGUGCAGAUAAAGUCACCCUCCUGCUUUUUUGUUUCAUUUUCUGUAUGUUUAAUAUAGAAUUUAAAUGCCACGUUAUCAACGCCAUUUAAUUUCAGGAGUGGCUGCCAGAAGGCUCAGAAGGAGAAACUGUCAUUAAUUAGUGGUGCAAAGUAACUUCAGAAGUUAUUUUUUUUAUUAUUCAGAAGGAAAAAUACUCUGUUUGCACUGUGAGAAUGCUCCGAUGCUGUCCUUGAGCACCGAGAAUUUCUCUUUCAGUGUGGUCAGUAAACACUGCAUUUUGCUAUUUGCCUUUUUUCCCACACCGUGGCAAAACAUCAUUAGUAUUUCAUGACCACAUUUCAGCAACGUUAUUUAAAAAAUACAGAUUUUAUUACACAAGGAGCCCAAUCCUCCAGUAUCUUUCCCAGAUAAAUAUGCAUGAGGAUACAUGGGACCUCUACCUGCAAAGAAAGGCAACUUCGAAGCAUUACCUGCUGCUCCCACUGCUUUUGUUACUGAAGCUCUUUGCUGAUUUAAUUUGAUUUUCAUCACGCUGUUAGCCAGGUGUGGGCUGGGGGCUGUGGUUGACACUGGGUCAGAAAUGUGAACCAUGUGGAGAAGCUGUUGGGAAAAAUGAAGCAAGAAGUGCAUAGUGUGUGUCACCCCACAGCUCAGGUGCGGUCCAAAGACCUCCGGCUUUAUCCCAUUUUAAGGUCAUAUUAUCAGCCUCUGUGCCGCAUGAGGCUGAAAAGAAGGAAAUAAAAAUAACAGAAUCACAGAAUGGCUUGGGUUGGAAGGCACCUCAAGGAUCAGCAAAAGUAUUGAUUAAUGGAAGGGAACGAAUCUCUGCCUUAUGUGUGCUGAAAUUGUGCGUUGGGCAACAGCGUGAAAAUCUACCAAUGCAGAUUAAUCUCCCCUUCUUUGCUCCGAGAUCACAAACAUCAGUGUUUGAAAGGUCCCCAGUUCAGCAUUCUUUGUGUUUGAUGGACACAAACACCAAGCGCUGAGCUGCGGCUCCCUAAGACCUUUUCUUCCACAUUCCCCGCUGGAGUCCAUCUCCAUAAGCACAAAAUCUCACAAUUCUAUGGUAAACAUUGGCUUAUAUUGCCGAGGUGACUUUACUUGGUGUUAGCAAGCAAAUCCAGUGAUUGCAGGACGGCGGUUAUUCCGCUGAUUUAAAAAAAAAAUAAGCGAAUACAUAACUUGGCCCCAAAGCCAGGAGAAAAGACGUGACAGUUGUCGAUGCCGGGUAAAGGGGCAGGCAGAUUAGCAGCCUUAUUUUUUAACAUAUAAACAUCUGAGACCCGUUUCCUGUUAAAAAAAAAAAAGAGAGAGAACUUAGGUGGAUGACCUCAGGCAGGAUUUUUUUUUAUUAGCAAACGUGAAUUGUACAUCACCAUGGAAAAAAAAAAAUAGGCCAGUCUUGGUGGUCUCGAUCCGCUCUGGAUACGGGAGAGCGAGAGAGAGAAAGGGGAGGAAAAAAAAUACAUAUAUAUAGAAAAAUAAACUUUACCUUCUCGCUUUCAGGGUGGGCAAUGCCAUUUCGGCUUCGGGGUCUUCGGCUCUGGGAAGUGUUAGCGCUGUCACCGCCGCACCACCGCACCGCUGCAAGGGAAAACAUUCCCCGCAUUCCUCCUCCUCUCUCUGCUAUCCGCGGAUCCGUGCGCUGCAGGUUCACGUUGCUACCGUCCGACUGCAUGGGACACAGCUAAUCUAAACCAGCGCCGACCCACCAUCCGACUCGGCAGCGAGGAAAAACAUUGACAAAUUUGCUGUUUAAAAUGCUUUCUACUCUUUCCAGUGUUUUGUUGUGCUUUUUUUUUUUUUUUUAAAGCUAUAAAUACACCCCGCCAGCUGCAACAUGUUGCACGAAGCCAGCUUUGCGGAUCAAGCGUCUUCUGACACAACGCCUUGCACUGGCGUUGGGUUAAUAUUUGAUACUGGGAGUCAACGUUGUGAUAUUUCUGUCCUUAGCGGUGACGAUGGUGUGGUUCUCCCGUGUUGCUCUGCAGAAAGAGCUUGGAAAAGGCACAGCGUAAGGGCAGAACAGUCUCAAGCAUCUGCUUAGUUAUUGCAGCAUGAAAAUAAAACUAAGAACAAAAAGACAGCUAUCUCUUAAGGUAGUGCAUAAUUCAAGCUAAGGCAAUGAUUACAUAUGAGAACUUUGGCAAGCGCAUAAUCAUUAAAUUCCCUUCUUUUUUCCCAGUGUGUUGGGCUGGGGAGUGUGCAGGACACUAUGAUUCCUCAUGGGCUUCUGUUAUAGGGUCGGAGAGGUUCACACUGAAGCAGAACCUCAACCCAAGCAAGAGGCAGCACAGGCUGGAUGUGAUUUUGCCUGUGCAUUCUAGCAGAUUGGAAGAUUUUUGGUCAGCUAAGCCCAUUCCCACUGCAUUUCUGAGAAAUUGCAGGUCUAUUAAUUUACAAUGGAAUGCAUCAUUAAAAUGUAUAUAUAAAAUGUGUAUACAGUAUAUAUAUAUAAUGCAUAAAUAAAAAGUCUGCUUUGCAGACUGCAAUACAGCACUUACCCACCCAUCGGUACCAUGAACUGUGGAUCAAGCCCACAAUUUGUAGCAACGCGGCACCAAAAUUGCCCUUUUUCACCCAAAAAGACAGCAUCCAGGGCACCGUCUGUGGGCGGACAUCCUGCCAUGCCCUCACACCGUUCCCCACAAAUGCCAGGAGUUAUUUUGGUAAUGAGCAAUUGCUCCAGCAUUAAGAAAACCAAUCAAUCUUCCGUGCGCUCUUGCAAAUGAAUCCUCAUAUUAUCUGUAUAUGCCGUCAGGCAGGAUAGUUUAGAAAAUACCAGCCCCUAUCUUAUCUUGUCGGUUCUUACUGAUGGGGGGGUGGGGGGGGGGGGGAAUAAUGGCUGAGAGAACCACAGGCAAGGAUAAUUAGUAAAAUCAAGUGACUCGCUGUUUGUUUGCAUUGCAAAAUGAACUUUUACCCCUCCACCUCCACUCCUCCCCCCAAUUUUCACCAUCUUAUCAUACGGCAUUUGACAUGACAGGUUAAUGAGAAAUCCCCCAAAUUCGGCUUCUGCGGCUAAUUGUAGCCGUGGUUGCUCUCCGCUUGAUGGUCCGGCUCCUGCCCCGUGAAACCCGAGCUCUCAGGGGAUACAACGGGUGUGAUUGCAAACCUAUAGAAGCGCUCAUUUACAGACACCACUGGAGCAGGCAGCUUGCAGAGCGUCGGACUCAUUGGCGGUGCACUCCUUCAGAAAUCACAAUUUUCGGACGGGAAGAAUUGAAGAAUUUGGACAACAGAAGACAAACAGUUGCUGUCAGAGUGAGUGGAAAAAGAACCACAUGGCGUGCUCUGGCCAUUAAUAAUCUGCAUUGGCGUGGAGAUCUGUCUGCCAUCGCAUGCAGCACACUGCUACCUCCCAGUUUUUCUUGUUCCUUGGGCUUUCUCCCACUUGCUGAUUUUAUUUACGGAGGAUUUUUAUUUUUAGUUAGGGAGAGAAAGGCAGGAAAAUGAAAAAAUUGGGCUCUUGACACUAAAAUCUUAUGCCAAACUUCCAGCAGCCCAGGGAAAUCAACUUCUUGUCCAAAUCCCAUCGGGAAAGGUUGAACUUGGGGACAUUGUGGUGAGGAGGGAAAAUCGCUUUCUGCUGCUUUUCUCCAAGAAAAAAAAAACACAUUUAAAUGGUCACUCUUUGUUGAAGACCCGUGUAAAAGCCUGGAGCUUAGCUUUCUUCUCUAGAAAUAACUGCUUUUUUAUGUUGGAUGAGGCUACUUAACCUCAUCCACUGAACUCCUCUGACCAACGCACGUGGUCAGGCUCCCAGGAACACAACAUUUGGCCCUGUUAUGCAUCAAAUUUCAUUUCCAGUCUGUGGAUUUAUUGACGUUAUAAUGGCCAGCCCACACAAACUGCAGCCAUGCAGCCAAUUAACAGGACAGACAACAACAGACAUUUGAGAAGUUGCUAAACUUGGUCUUGAAAACGAGCUCGCUUUAUCCCUGUAAACGGAUCUUGUUCUGUCAUCGUGCAUUAAACUGGAAAGCUUCACGUUGCAAAGUGGUACAAAAUCACAUCCUGAUAACCAAGGCCUCACAGAAUAUUUCAGCAGAUCGUAUCGCUUGUGGUUUUAUUUCAUAACUGCAAUGCAAACGCGAGGGUGGAUUCCAAGACAAAAAUAUCUGCAUAUGCUGAAAUGAAGUUCUCGGUGCAUCAUACUUAAGGUAGCCAGCAGCCAUGGGGGUCUGAUCCAUGAGCAUUUUUCCUCUGCCAAACCCACAAACACAAAAGCAAAACUCCUAGGACCAUGUUUUUCCUCGUCCCAGAUUGAAAUGCAGAGAUCGAAAUCAACUGAAACAUUUUGGGAAAAUCAUGUUGACUUCACCCAACUGUUACCACCAUCAAAGGGCUUUCGAAGGUCACCACCUUUCUUUCUGACAUGAAAUGAAGCAUUGCAGAUAACGCAAUGUAUUUCUUUAUUUUAAAAAAGUUCAAAGGUCCAUUAAGGCUUCCACGUCGUACAAAAGACUUAAUUCACCGGAAGCCAUUUUUCUCUCCCAAUUGUUUGGAGCAGCAAGUGAACCAAACAAUCCGUUAUUCACACAGAUCUACCCAGAAACAUAUUUCCCAUGCCCAAGCCAUCUAUGCUUUGACUUAACAAAAAUAACUUCUAACUGGGCUGUUUUAAAACGCCGAAUUGGUUCGUAUUUGAGAGCUUGGUUGGGAGAUCUGGGUAGAAUUUAUAGCUACCUGUGGUAGGUGGAAACCAAAUUGAGAUGAAGAGCUGUACGAGAAAAUACGUUGAAUCUCUUUGUCCAAAAUUGAGGUCCAUACUUUGUACCUAAAGCUCAUAGCUCCAAGAUGAUGCUUGUCAAAAGACGCAUUAGAAGAGGAGAAUCGGUGUGGACAGACCAUUUUCUGGUGCAAUCAUCUCGUUUUAAGUGAAAUUUCUGCUUUCCCACCAUGCCUUUGGAAAAUAACAGCUUUCGGCGCUUUUGAAGAGCAUGGUUCACUACUCUUACAUCCAGCCUGUCCAAGUUGCCCUGUGUAAUAGCAAUGUUAUUUCCUUUAUAUUAUAAAUAGGAUUUGGGUUGAAUAUGAAUAAACUCAUACCCAUUGGUAUGCUUUGUAACUCUAAUCAGUGCUUUCCUGAAAAAAAAAAAAAAAAAAAAAAAAAAAAAAAAAAAGAAAAAAAAAAGAAAAAGAAAAGAAGAAUGUUUAUCCGAAAAAUAAAGAGGUGCUAAUUUUAUCUUGUGAAAGUGGAUAUCUCCUUACGUCCCUCCAACUUCGAGGAAGAUAACCCGAAUGGAUUAUAUCAUCUAAAUCCAGCAUCCUAUGAGAUCAAACAGAAUAAUGUACACAUAUGCCAAAGAUGAUUGAAGUAUUGCUGGUGCUCACUUCCGCUUCACUAAGUAUGUGUUUCAUUGAUAUACGUAAUUUGCCACCGCCAUGAAAGAAAUUCAAAGUCCUCUGUUUGUGCCAGUUGAUUUCUAUGAUAUCUGGAGGCUUUUAAAAUAGGGAUCCAAAAUAGAUGUGCCCUUGUCACCCCUGUGUUUAAGCUCUCUCCAACAGGAAAUGGCACGGGUUCAAAUUUUUUUUAUACUGGAAGCCACAUGUAGCUAGAUAAGAAUCAUGUCUUGUCUAUGACUAAGCAUUGACAUUUCAAUGUUUAAAAUAUAGUCAAAAUGAUCCAUGGAGAACCCACCUGAGACUAUUUUUCUUUGUCUAAAGUCCCACUUUCUAACUUCUUGAAAGGGAAGGUGGAGCUCUGGGGGUUGUGACAUGACGAUGUUAUGUUAAGGAAAUGGAAGUUUGCUUUAUUGUUCACGUUCAAAGACGUGGCUGCUAGAGAAGGCUUUGCUACCAGACAGAGCAUUGCCUCCACCCACACCAGCAUGGAUCUCUGCCUUCUCCAUCCUCACCAACAGGUUUAAAACACAGCAUAGAGGGGGGGGGGGGGAAAGCUAUUCGCUUUUGCCAAAUCGCAGAUGUCAAAUUUAACACACGUGGGAAGAAAAAAUAAAAAGGAGAAAUGAGUGGUAUUUCC